UGGGAAGUCUUGCACAAUGGGCGAAAGCCUGAUGCAGCAACGCCGCGUGCGGGAAGACAGCCCUAGGGUUGUAAACCGCUUUCAGCAGGGAAGAAACUGACGGUACCUGCAGAAGAAGAUGCGGCCAACUACGUGCCAGCAGCCGCGGUGACACGUAGGCAUCAAGCGUUAUCCGGAUUUAUUGGGCGUAAAGAGCUCGUAGGCGGUUCGGUAAGUCGGGUGUGAAAACUCUGGGCUCAACCCAGAGAGGCCACUCGAUACUGCUGUGACUAGAGUCCGGUAGGGGAGACUGGAAUUCCUGGUGUAGCGGUGGAAUGCGCAGAUAUCAGGAGGAACACCAGUGGCGAAGGCGCCGCUCUGGGCCGUAACUGACGCUGAGGAGC
rnacentral:rRNA from 1 species